GUGUCAGCAGCCGCGGUAAUACGUAGGGUGCAGGCGUUAAUCGGAAUUACUGGGCGUAAAGCGUGCGCAGGCGGUUUGCUAAGACAGGUGUGAAAUCCCCGGGCUUAACCUGGGAACUGCGCUUGUAACUGGCAAGCUUGAGUGUGGCAGAGGGGGGUGGAAUUCCACGUGUAGCAGUGAAAUGCGUAGAGAUGUGGAGGAACACCGAUGGCGAAGGCAGCCCCCUGGGCUAACACUGACGCUCAUGCACGAAAGCGUGGGGAGCAAACAGGAUUAGAUACCCUGGUAGUCCACGCCCUAAACUAUGUCAACUGGUUGUCGGGGAAGCAAUUCCUUGGUAACGAAGCUAACGCGUGAAGUUGACCGCCUGGGGAGUACGGCCGCAAGGUUAAA
rnacentral:rRNA from 1 species